UACUUAAUAGUAUGCCAUCCGGUAGCUUUUAAUUCAACUUAGGCACAUAUAUAAUAUAUAUGAGAAGGGUUAAUGUAGUCAGAAUGCAGUGUAAGGGCUUCCAUUCUGUUCAGUAUUGUAAUUAGUCAGUGUUCCAGUGUUUGUUAAUUUUAAUUCAGUUAGGUUAGUUUUCAAUUACUGACAAUUAAUGUCAGUUUCUGUUAGUGUAUUAAUUUUAAUCUAGAAUCCUAAUUCACAGUACUGGUAUAAUAAAAAAUUAGGAGUUGGGUUAUCUAUGCACAUUGUUAAUCUGUCAUUUUGAAAAUUCUUAAAUAAGGGGUAUGUUCCUUAAAAUAAAAACACCCAUCCAUUCCAUUCCCCCUCCAAAGGCCAAACUCAUGCAUAUGAUUAGGUAUAGCAGUUAAGUUUUUCUUCUUCCAUUCAAAACUUAUUAAUGAAACCCCAUAAUAAUAAAAUGUCGGUUACCAUUAAUGCCAGCAUCACAGCUAUUCUCUGUCUUUGAAGAUUAUACUUACCCUUAU
rnacentral:lncRNA from 1 species